UACGGAGGGUGCGAGCGUUGCUCGGAAUUAUUGGGCGUAAAGCGUACGCAGGCGGCCGAUCAAGUCGAGUGUGAAAUCCCGGGGCUCAACCCCGGACAUGCAUUCGAGACUGACUGGCUUGAGUGCGGGAGAGGGAAGCGGAAUUCCUGGUGUAGAGGUGAAAUUCGUAGAUAUCAGGAGGAACACCGGUGGCGAAAGCGGCUUCCUGGCCCGACACUGACGCUCAUGUACGAAAGCGUGGGGAGCAAACAGG
rnacentral:rRNA from 1 species